GCUACACACUGGAGAGCACAGCCGUGUGUGCUGCACAGCUUGGGCACCAGAGCAAAAGCUUCUGCACUGACUGCUCAUGUGGAAGACAGUUAAAAACAGUGAUGUUCAUUCUCCACAUUACAAAAGCUAAUGAAACAAAAGCAGUAUUUUGAAUAAUGAUGAACACCACAGACAGAGAUGAAGCAUUUCAUUCAGAACCUAGGUUUGUUUUUUAUUUCCAAAGAGAAUUUAUUGCAGAAUUCAAAUGGGGCAAUACUGAAUUCCAGCAGUAAAGCUUCCCUUAAUUCACUGAAGGCAGCCUCUCCUGUCACAAGCAUCACUUGAAUUCCAAAACCUGUCUGCAUAGGUGAGGGGAGAGCAGUGGAAUGUUGCUCACCAGACUUCAGUAAGGUGUUUGAUGCUAUCUCCCAUGAUAUCCUCACAGACAAAGUCAUUAAGUGAAGGCUGGACAAAGGGAUGGUGAGAUGGAUGGAGAACUGGCUGAACAGCAGAGCUUAGGGGGCUUUUGAUCAGUGGCACAGAGACCUGGAUGAAAACCUGCAACAAGUGAUAUCCCACAAGGGUUUUGAUACUGGGUCCAAUCUUGCUCAACUUAUAACUUAGAUGAAAGGGUAGAUACUUCCAGCAGGUUGGCUGAUGACACAAGGCUGGGAGGAGUGGCCAAUACCCCAGAGGGCUGUGCAGCCCUUCAGAUGGACCUCAACAGGCUGGAGAGUCGGGCAGAGAAGAACCUUCUGCAAUUCAAUGCAGGGAAAUGCAGGGUCCUGCACCUGGGGUGGAGCAGAGAUUGCACCUGCUGGAAGGCAGCUCUACAGAGAAUUAACUUGGAGUCCUGGUGGACAAUCAGCUUUGCAUGUGCGGCCUGGUGCUGGGAAGGCCAAUGGAAGAGUCUUCAUUGCCAGCAGGUUGAGGGAGGUAAUCCUGCCUAUCUACUCAGCCCUGGUGAGGCCGCAUAUGCUGUCCUAGUUCUUGUCCUGUGCCUAGUUCUGGGGCCCUCAGUACAAGAGAGACAGGGAGAUCCUGGAGCAGGUCCACCAAAGGACCAUAAAAAUGAUUUCCUCUCAUGAGGAAAAGUUGUGAGAACUGGGCCUAUGCAGCUUUGAGAAGAGACAACCGAGAGAAGACAUCACCAAUGUCCGUCAGUAUCUGAAGGGAUGGUGAUGGGAGGAUGGACCGAGCUCUGUUCAGUGAUGCUGAGCAAAAGGACAAGAGAAAUGGGCAGAAACUCCUGCACAGCAAGUUCCACCUGAACAUGAGGAAGUACUUCUUUAUAUUGUGGGUGACCAAGCAGUGGAGCAGAUUGUCCAGAGAGAGUGUGGAGUCUCCUUCACUGGAGAUAUUUAAAGGCCAUCAGAACAGAUGGAAGGACAGAAUGCCCAGUGUGCAUUAUUUAAGGUUUCCAGAUAGAAAUUCCAUCUUUCUACUUAGACUGAUUUCAAAUGAUGUGGAAACCUUGAAGUUCCUCUGCUAACCAUCAAAGGUAACUUGGUACCAUAAAACAAGUGUUCAUACAAAGCUUAAAAAUCUUCAGUUAGUUGAGAAUGUAUUGGAAAUCUCAUUUUGCCAUUACAAGGGACUGCAUUAUAAAGAUCAGGUUAUUAAUUCAUUAAUUAAUGCAACUUAUUCAUUAGGAAACUAAGAAAGAUGUCAAUUUUAUUAAUUCCUUCAUAAAAUUUGUUGGGAUUGUUUUAAUUAGAAAGGUAAAACUUCAUCAAAACAUAUAAUUUCUUUAGACAAUCUGCUCAGAUAAUUUUUAGGAACUUUUUUAUGAAAAAAAUCUGCUAUGGUGUAAUUUGGAUUAUUAACAUAAAAAUAAUAAUGUAGAUAAAUCCACAAAAUGCAUCCAAAAGUUCCAAUUUCCUUUUAUACUUUAAUCUGUGAUCAUAACAGACGUUUCUUUCCUCAAGAAAGAACUUUCUGCUCAAAAUUACAGAAGAAAUUGGAAUAAUUAUUACCUUUGGUCAGUGCUUUAAAUAUGUAUCCACAUAUUCAGAUAAUCCCAGAGAAGGGCAGAGAAAAAAGGAUGUGUUUGUUGUUUGUGUGGGUGUUCUUUCUUUCAGGAUUUGCAUCACUUCCUAUUAUAUCCAUUUUUCAAGCUGUCUUCAAUUUAGAAUCCUUAGCCAGUGGCAGAAAAUUGUACUUGAAAUAAAUUAGUCAGCUUUGUUCAACAAGAAAACAGCAAUAUUUAAUUUUGGAAUUUUAUUCAGAACAACUAACCUAAGGGCAGUAGAUGCUGCCAAUAAAGAGGGAAAUGAUUUGUCAUAUUAUAGUUGGAUGUGGCUAUGAUAUCACAGUGGUUUUUCCUUAUAAUGUAAGAAGGCAGAUAGCCAAAAUAAUGAGACAUUUUUGGAAAGGUUAUGGCCUCUUUACCUUUCCUCCUUGAUAGAUCUGUACUUGCAUACAAGAAGGUAGAUUGGACAAGACAAUUUCAAGAGUCUGGGUAAAAAAGCAGUGCACAAUGACACAUUAGUUGCUGAGUUAUUUUUUCCAGAGAAUGAGAAAUGUUGCUAGAAAAACUGGCUUUGCCUCACUCAUGCUGCCUUUCUGGUUGCUGUUGUAAAACAGUAUGCUUUGGCAUUGUCUCCACUACUGAAGACAAAUUGUAAAAAUCUAUUUCUCAUGCUGCAGGAUUUUUCCAAGUAUAACCAUUUUCUGAAGGAAAACCAGCUGGAUUAUACUGGCAAGUACCUCAGGAAGGCAGAACUAAUUGCUCCAAUUAUUGCUGGAGAGCCAGGUGGGAAAUUAGAAUGUGGGGCCAAUUGGGGAUAGAUAAAAAAUACUUCUCAGAAUUUAGAGAGGAAGCUGAUAAUGCUUUGGUUUAUAAGGCUGCUGUUGUUUAUCUUGACUCAGUUUUUAAAGUUUGGGUUUUAGGCAUUAGUAGUAAGGCUAUUCCUAGCUUAAGGGGACAUGUAUAAAAUACAGAUUUCUUUUUAAAAAAUGAGAGAGGAUAAGGACUUCUGUCAAUGCAUAGGCCUGACUCAUUGCUUAAGGAUCCCUUGUGACAGAAAAGUAUAUCUGAUCUUUUAAAUUCUUAAAAUCAGCAUAUGACAGGCUAUCUGCAAGUGCUUUCAGUACUUGCUUUCUAUUCCCUUAUGUCCUUUUUUCUGCUCUGUAAUGUGGCAGCUGCUCAUGUGAGAAAUUACGCUUGCUGGCAUUUUCUGCUUUAAAUUUUGUUGGUAUUGAUUAAAUUAUGGUGUCAAGUAGUAGAUGGCAGACCCUUGCUAGAAGAUAAUGGCAGAAAGCAAGGUUCUGAUUUUAUAUUAAAGACAGUUUAAACAAAGUUAGGUUGAAUUUUAGACUUUUUAUAUAUAGAGAUAGUAGAGACCUUUGGCAAUUUUUCUUCUUCUUUCAAUUAGAGAUCUUCCUGGGAAAGGAUUAUAUUUUAAUCAGCAAUAUUUUAUUUUGAAAAAAAAAAAUGUUUUCUACAUCUAAAUCAGAAGGGCAAUGGGACUACAAAAGCAGGUAUUACAGACACUAAGAAUGAGUUUUUAAAAAUAGAUUACCAUGUUUAUUUUGCUCUUGAGCAAAGACAAUGAGAAUGUGCAGCAAUUUCUUUUGCUAUGUACAUGACAUGAACUCAAAACUAAAAAAAAUACAAUUCAACCACUGUCCAAGUCAGUGGUAAUCUGAUGAUAAAAUGCUGGUAACAUUUCAGAUUGUCUAUAUUUCUCUUUACAUCCAUGGAUCAAUAUCCAUUAGAAUCAAGUCAGCAGUCUCAUACUCAAUCAGUAAAAGACUGUUGAUUAAAAAAAAUACUUGCAAUUCCAGACUUUUUCCAGGUUCUCAUAAAUUUUGGUAUAUAUUAGGAUUAAAUGUGCAAAAAUCCAGAAUUAUCUGAGUAGUGGGAAGGUAUAAAACAUCAAAGAUAGUAUUUGACCUAAAUAGAUGAUGCUUCCUGUGGUUUUGAGAUACCAAUCUAAAAAGGCCUUAAAAAGAAUUGGUUUAAGUCUUCGUCCAGAAACAUAAAACUAUUUUCCACCAUGGUGAAAGUCGCUGCUUCUGACUUGGUCAUUUACUGCUGCUUUAUAUAUUAUUCUAUGUCUGUUCUUUAUACUGCUAGGAGUCAGGAAUCAUGUUACAGAAAAUAAAAAUUUUCAGCUUAGUUCAAUUUAAUUAAAUUUAAGAAAAAGAAAUAUGACUAGUUUAUGAUCUGCAGGUAAAUUGAAGACUACUCCAGCAUGUGAAUUCACAGUUCCUCUGUCUAUUCACUCACUUCCUGACAUAAAUAUAGAAAUGAGCCAUUGUAUGCUAUGUAAAUAUACUUGCAAUUUUCCUUGAGAAUAACAGUUCUCAGAUUCUUGCUACCCAGUACUGUACAUGUGACAUUCUCAUGUUGCUUCGGUAGUUGAAACAAUGAAAAGAAACUAAAAAGUGGAAUUUUCCUGGCACAGAGUUGCUGACCUAUCUGUUCAAAAAAAAAACCACUGGAUGAAGUGUGUGAAAUGUGGGUGCCUGAUGCUCCUAAUCAAAGGUACAGAAGAAGGAGAGAAAUGUUUUUACUUCUGUAGCUGUCAAACACCUGAAUGUACAGCAGCUCCCAGAACACCACUCACACCGAGCAGGCAUAUCUGCAGUUUGUGUGUUGAGCCCUUCACAAAUCUUUGUCAACUCUUUCAUAGCAAAGAGUCAUAGAAUGGUUUGGGUUGGAAGGGAUCUUUAAAGAUCAUCUGCUUCCAACCCCUUCCACUAGACCAGGUUGGUCAAACCCCCAGUGUUCAACCUGUCCUUGAACACUUCCAGGGUUAGGGCAUCCAUCAGUCCUCUGGGAAACCUGACCCAGUGCCUCACAAAUUCAAUGUAAAUCUACUCUCAGUUUAAAACCAUUGUCACUGGUAAAAAGUUUUUUUCCUUUUUUUGUAAGUCCCCUUUAUCUAUUUCAAGCUACAACAAGGUUUCCUCAGACCCUUCUUUCCUCCAGGCUGGACAACGCCAACUCUCUCAGCCUGUCUCCAUAGGAGAGGUGUUCUGUCUCUGAUUAUUCUAAAGUAAGAAAUUUUCUCACCUGUAGUAAACCUGCUAUUUUUAGCCUGGACAAACCAGACAUAAAAGUAUAGAUUUGUGCAUUUACAAAAGCAUUUGCAAAUCUCAGUAACUGUAUCAUAAUUAUCUGUUAAUAACUUUCUUCAUCUACCCUUUUUCUCCUCCUAAAAUUUUCUAGUUGAAGGUCCAAUAUUAGGGCAUUUUUCUCUGAACAUCCUCAUAAGGAAUAAUGUUAUACUUCUGAUAUUUCAACCUUUGGAUUUAAAAGAAAUCAAAAUGCUGAUUUAAGGUGUAAGAUGCAGCAAGCCCUCAGCCUGUUCUCAGUCAUAGUACAACGAAUCCUGAGAUUUAAAGAGUGUUACUCUAGCCUAAUUUAAGAGCAAGUAAAAAUGAAUUAUUUUGUCUGAGUUUUAAUUACUCUGAAGAAUAUGGCAUUGGUUAGCUGUGCCUAUUCUGUCAGUUUGUUUCAUGCCUUGUUUUACUCAAGAGAGCUAAUCCACUUAUCACUCCUGGGUGCUCCUCUUCAGGAGAAACAGUGUGAAACAGUUUGCAAGACAAUUUGCUCCAGGGUCUAUUCUGUGCAGAAAGGAUGGAUGAAAAUUUGACUAGGGUGGUUCAAAAAGCUAUAAAGGAGCAUUUACAAGUCAAAUUAUUCCCAGUCAGAGGGUCAUGCAUCCUUCCAAAAUCUUAUUAGAAUGACUUCCUAGCAUGUUUUAAGCUUUCUGUAGAAUUUCAACAAUUUUUGUCAUAAAUAAAGAUUAGACUGCCUAUAUUAUUGAAAUACAGUGAUAAGAAAUUAAACCAUUGUGAAUUUCUUUGUUUAUUACUUUGGCUAAUGAACCACAGAGCUCAAAAUUUUAAAAAAAGUUUUUUUUUCCUCUCAAACUACUCUGAAUAGAUGCAAUUAAAUCCACAGUAAAAUUUGCCUGUUAAAAUAUGAUCACAAAGUAUGUUUGGGGCUUCUUCUUGUUGUGCUUGUUUUUUUUUAUUUCUUUUAAUCUCUAACUUAGGCAAAUUACUAGCAUGACCAAAACUAAAUUUAAAAAAGGAAAACUGCAAGAGUUCACCAAGGGUUAUACUGAAUGAGAACAUAUCUCUAACAUAUAAUUUUGUAGAAAUUCAGUAAGUAUGUGUGCACCUUUAGAUUUUCAAAUAAUACAAAACUAUUCCUUCUGUUGUCCUAUGGGAAUAUAUUUACUGGGCCUUUACUAGAACAUUCUGAAAAUUUCUGUUCAGGUUCAAUCAUCUGUAGAGGGAGACAGUUUCUUAGUCAGAGAACUUUGUUCAAUUACAUUCAAAGUAUGAGGCUCAAAGGACCAUUGGAAAGGUCAUAAAGUGAACCUUUGAGAAAUGGCUGGACAGUGAACAGAAGAUUUUGGUAUUCAGGACAUGGACUGGUGGAUAAUAAAAAAAAAGAAGAAAAAAGAAAAAAAGAAAGGUAGGAAAACCUUACUGUCUUGGAAGAUUUGGGUGAGGUGCUGCACUGCUCUUGUAGAAAUAUUACAAUUUUCUGACUGAAAAUCCUCACAACAAUAAGGCAAGGCACAGAGGAUGACAGAAGCACUGUGAGUUCUCAUUCACUCAAAAAACCCUGACACACUCCUAAAAGACUCUUUGCUUGAGAUGAACCUCAGUGGUUGAGGACUGAGGAAUGAUUGAGGAAUGAUAUUUUGCAUGCAUACGGAAUCUUCAGCUGGAGAAGAUACAACAUUUCCAUGACAAUGCUAUUUAUAUCUAUAUAUCUCUCUCCCAUUAGAAGCAAUGGCAUCUUGGGAUUACUUAGCAAAUUCACACUUACAAAAUGUAUGGAAAUAUUUUCCCCAUAUAUUUUUUAAAUGGAUAAAUGGUUGGUAGUUGGAAAAUACCAUCUGGAACUUAUUGAGCAACUGAGCAACUUCAUAGGACAGAUAUACCAAUCAUGAUCUACAACUGAAUCAAGAUAUUAAUCAUGUGGUUUUAAUUGUUAGUUUCAAUCUUUACAUGGAUGAAAUUGAGUUUUUUAUAAUGUCUAUAAUACUUUAACCGUGUUAUAAGAAAUCUUUGAACAAGGUAUAUUGUACUUUCUGAAACAAAUACAGAAGUUGGCUUGCAUAACUUAAUGGAGACCAUAAUAUGUAUAAUAAGAUUUACUGAAGCUUAAGACGUUGAAGUAUUUCAUCUGCUCAGGGCAGAAUGCCCAGAGUAAGAUAGCAUGCAACAAUGCCUAUCAUAAAAAUAACUAAUACAAUGUCCAAGAACAAAACUCUGAUUUUUUUAUAUUAUUAAGUAGUACAAAAAUACAGACUAUUAGAAGAGAAUGUAUUCAGAGAAACAAAGAUUAUCAUAGACAGAAUCACAGUUGUUUAUAUUGACCAUUUGGUUAUGCCAGCAAAGUAAUUAGCACUGUUGUCCAGUAUUUACUUAAAACUAUCCUGAUAUAAGUUAAUAGCACAAAAACUAUUCCCAACAAAACAUUAACACAUGUGGACAAACAAUUACAAAAUGAGCAUUUUUUCCCUGGAGAUUCCACUUAUGUAAAUGCCUGAAGUCUGUUGUCAUAUCCCCAUGAGCUGAAAUCACGCCCUGUUGCUACAGUUCUGUUUCAGGCACCCAGAAACCAAUUCUCAUUGUCAUUUUAGGAUCUCACUUUUCUUUGCCUGCAUCUACUGGUCUUAGAGAUCCUCUGAGUCCCCUGCCAGAUUUGUCAGGCCUGUGAAUUACUUGGAUGACUAAAACAUUUCACAUAGCAGUAGAACUUCAUGCUCAAUCAACUAAAUUUAUUCUUCACCAUUUUAAAGAGAUUAACCCAAGGCUACUUUUUAUAGAAGUUAUGUCCUAAGAAUGUCUGAAAAUGUAAAAAAAAGAGUACCAGUAUGAAAAAGCUUUACAUGUAACUCUAAGUCAUUAUUUGCAAAUAAGAGUACAAAUGCCAGCUAUGGGAGAUUCAACAGUUAAUGAAAAGUGGGAAUGAAUAUUUGCUUCCACUUAACUCCAGAGCUCAUCUGGUCCACAACACAGGUAAGUGAACUACAGAAAAUGCAUGGUUUUAAGAUUGUCAUUCUCUUUUAUUCAUCUAUAGAAAGAAUGCCACAAUAAAUCUGUAAUACUGAAGUAAUUCUCAGGUAAUCUUGAGUUCCUCUAAAUUCUGAACUACUUUCCCAAAAGAUAAUUACAUUUGCAUGCUGAAACUCAAAUGCUCUUUAAUUGUUUUCCAGCUUUUAGUUUAAUUUAUCCUUUGACACUGACAUUUCCCCUCUUAGUCAGCUGGAAAUCAGACACUGAAAUCCAGACUGCCUGCACCAGCCUCUCUCAAUGGCAAAAAACACUCAAUAGGGAACCAGUCAUUUUAUCAGACUAGGAGUUGUAACACUUAGAACUCCCAAGGUAGCAGAGGUGAAUUGCAUUGUAAGAGAAAAUCAGGGAAUUGCAGCUCUUCAGUCAUUUGCAAAUUUUGAAGACAAGAAGAAACAUCUUUGGAAAGGUAAUUUCAGACCAACAGUUACACACACAACUUCCAGAAUGUUUCAAAAGGUGGUUUGGGUAUUAUUUGGUUUGUUAUUACUUGUAUUUGUUUGGGUUUGUGGUUAAUUAAUAAUACCAAUAAGGAAAAAAAAAAAUUCUGUUUGUAGGCUCUGAAAUUUAGGAUCCAAGACAUAACCUAAGGGGCAACUUAUGAUGAACAAAAUAAUGAAGAUAUAUUUUUUACAGUUAUAAAUCUGUAUAAAACUCAUCACGAUAAAAUAAAAACUAAAAAUUCUUGACUUCCCAUUUUCAUCCCACCAUUUCUCUUUUAGAAAACAAAUUUUUUAAAUGCUUAAAUAUACUAUUGAAAAAUUCAAUUUUGCUAGGAAGACUAUCAAAGUGUUUCAUAUUUGAUAUUUGAUAAAGCAAAUUAUUAAGUAUUUUUAAUGAGUACUAUGUAUGGAAAUUUUUAGUAAAAUGCAUAUACAUGGGUAAGAAUUCUUGUUUUGGAAAAGAGAACUUUAUAGAUCUACCUGUAAAUUCUAAUUUGAUUUCUUCAGCUCUGUGGAACAUUAGAUUGCUUUUACCUCAAAUAUGGAAACAGCAAUUAUUUCCUCAUGUAUAGAGAUUCUGGAAACCUGAAAAAUGCUGAUUUUUUAAAAUUACUAAGCUUAAGGUCCAUUUAUAAAUUAUAAAUAAAAAUUUUGAUUUAUUAAUUAAUUGGUCCUCAAAGCUUAAUUGAAAUGCAUCUAAAUGAAAAAGGUCUUAUUUUAAUAAUAAAAUGAAGGUCAUGAUAAUUAAGUUUUAUAUUUGAGGUCAAUAUAAACAUACACUUGAAAGAAUAUACCUCAUAUGUAAAGGGAAAUGUAAUUUUCAUAAUGUGUCCUUCAGUACAAAAUAUUUUCCAUUUUCAUGUUAUUACACAAGAAAAAGAUAAUCUCGUUCCUUAUGAAAUUAUGAAAGUCAUCCUGUCUGGUGCUUUCCAGCUCCAAUAUUACAGUAUCUUUUUCUUUCUCAGCACCACAUUAAUACCAAAACAAAAUCACUCAGGAUUUACCAAUCCAAUAAAUGUUUCAUUAUAGUUCAUCUGCAUUAAGUGCAGCAGUCAAACCUGCUCAGCUACUAUUUUUAUUUUAAAUUAAUGUUUUAUGUAAACACUAACAUUAAUAAUUGAUUUAUGAAGCAAAUAUUCUGAAAUUUUAUAAAAAUAGAGCCUGAUAGGCAUUAGACAUAUUCUUCAAAUCCACUGAGCACUGAGUCUGCUCCAUACUUUGUAUGUUUUAUUUGAAAAGCAAUGAACAUCAGAAGACAGAUAUUAUUGUAUAUUAUUCAUUGUAAUCUACCUAUUUAAUUACUUUAAAUAUACAGGUAGGACCCCAUUCUCAUUUAAACUGAAGAAUCAUUACACUGGUGUUCUGUGUAAAGGGCCUCUAGAGAAAAUGAAGUUCAGGAUUUCAAUCUACAACACAAAGAGAGCAUAGACUAAUUUUUCAUAGCAUGACAAGUCAAAGAAAUGGGCACAUCCUUCCUAAAAAGAUGGGCUACCACUGUGGAGCUGUUUCUAUU